rnacentral:rRNA from 1 species
GUCUUAUUGAAAAUAAUUUUAAGUCGAUCUGCCCAAUGAUGGAUAAUUAAAUGGCUGCAGUAUAAUUGACUGUACAAAGGUAGCAUAAUCAAUUGAUUUUUAAAUGAAAUCUGGAAUGAAAGGAUUAAUGAAAUACAUACUGUCUCAAAUAUAUUUUAUGAAUUUAAAAUUUUAAUAAAAAUGUUAAAAUUUUUUUAUGGGACGAUAAGACCCUAUAGAAUUUUAUAUUAAUGUAUUUUUAUCUUUAAAAUAAAAUUUAUGUUAAUAUUUGAUUGGGAGGAUUAUUAAAUUUAAUUAACUUUAAUUUUUGUAAACUUAAAUUAGAGAAAAUAUCUUGAUCUUGAAUUUUAAAUUAAUAGAAUAAAUUACCUUAGGGAUAACAGCGUAAUAUUUUUUUAUAGAUCGUAUAGAAAAAAAUGGUUGCGACCUCGAUGUUGAAUUAAGAUAAAUUUUAAAUGCAGGAGUUUAAUAAUUAAGUCUGUUCGACUUUUAAAAUCUUACAUGAUUUGAGUUCAAAUCGACGUAAGU